UACGUAGGGUGCAAGCGUUAAUCGGAAUUACUGGGCGUAAAGCGUGCGCAGGCGGUUUUGUAAGUCUGUCGUGAAAGCCCCGGGCUCAACCUGGGAAUUGCGAUGGAGACUGCAAGGCUAGAGUGUGUCAGAGGGGGGUAGAAUUCCACGUGUGAGCAGUGAAAUGCGUAGAUAUGUGGAGGAACACCGAUGGCGAAGGCAGCCCCCUGGGAUAACACUGACGCUCAUGCACGAAAGCGUGGGGAGCAAACAGG
rnacentral:rRNA from 1 species